GUGUUGUGUGUAGGUUCUCCGUGGCGGACAGGGGUACGAGUGGGCCCCGCUUUCGGCGCUGGUACCAGGAGCUCUGAGAGGAACGUGGGCGAGCUCGGAAGCUGCGCCAUGGAUCUCGGGUUUCCCAGGUUGGCCUCAAACUUUCUCUUAGCUGAGGAGGACCUUGAACUUUUGAUCCCGCUACCCAAACCCACCGCCAGAGUGCUGGGAUUAAGGGAGUUUUUGGCCUUUGAGGAUGUGGCUGUGGAGUUCAGCCAGGAAGAAUGGGUUUUGCUGGAUCCUUCUCAGAAGAAACUAUACAGAGAUGUGAUGCUGGAAACCUGCAAUAACCUUACUUCAAUAGGCAUCAAAUGGGAAGACAAGAACAUUGACGAGCAGUACAAACACUCUUGGAGAUUCCUAAGAAGUUGCAUGAUAGAUGCAAUUUAUGAGCACAGAGAAGGUGGUCAGUUUCAAGAAACCUUUACCUGGAUACCAGAUUUCCGUAGGAGUACUGACAUUUCUACUGGAGUAAAACCAUUUGAAUGUGGUGUGUGUGGAAAAGUUUUCACGUGUCAUUCAUCCUUUAAUGAGCACAUCAUGUCUCACUUAGGGGACAAACCAUCUGAAUACAAACAUGGUUCAUGUGGAAUACAGCAACAAAGUCAGAGUGUUGAAAAAUCCUAUAAACAGUGUGGAAUGGCCUUUGCUUGCCACUGUUCGCUUUCUAUAGAUGGAAGAACCAACAGUAAAGAUAAAUGUUACAAAUGUGAACAAUCCAGUAAAGCUCUGAGUUCUUCCAGUUCCCUCCAGAGUCAUAAAACAGUUUAUGCUGCAGGAAGAACCUAUGAGUGUGAAGAGUGUGGAAAAUCCUUUAGACAUGAGAGUUCCUUUUUAUUACACCAAUUAACUCACAUUGGAGGGAAAUCCUAUGAAUGUAAACAAUGCGGGAAGGCCUUCAGGUGUCACAGUUAUCUUCAGUUACAUGAAAACUUUCAUAUUGAAGAAAACCCCUACGAAUGUAAACAGUGUGGAAAAACCCUCUGUUCUCCCAGUUCCCUUCGAGUUCAUGAAAGGAUUCACAAUGGAGAAAAACUUUAUGCAUGCAAACGGUGUGAUAAAACUUUCAAAUGUCAAAGUUACCUUCGAAUACAUGAAAGAACUCACACAGGAGAAAGGUGCUACGAUUGUGAACAAUGUGGUAAAGCUUUCAGAAGUCACUGUUCCCUUCAGAGACAUAAAAUAGCUCAUCCUAGGAAAAAAGCCUACGCGUGUAAACAAUGCGGUAAGUCCUUCGCUUAUCCAUAUUUACUUCAAACACAUGAGAGAUUUCACACCAGAGAAAAAACGUAUAAAUGUCGGAUCUGUAGUAAAGCCUUUCUUUGUUCCCCCUUUCUUCAGAGACACAAAAGAACGCACACUUGGGGGAAACCGUAUAAAUGUAAACAGUGUGGUAGAUCCUUCAGAAGCCACAGUUCCCUUCGACUGCAUGCAAGGGGUCACACAGUAGAAGAAUCUUACACGUGUAGGGUCUGUAGUAAAGCCUUUCUAUGUCCUCCUUUCCUUCAGAGGCAUGAAAAAACUCACGCUGAGGAAAAGCCCUUUGAAUGUAAGCAAUGUAGUAAAAUCUUCAGAGAUUGGAGUACCUUCCAAGUGCAUGAAAGAUCUCACACUCUAGAAAAGCCCUAUACAUGUAAGCUAUGUAGUAAAGCCUUUUUUUAUUCCUCUUCCCUGGAAAGACAUAAAAAGAUUCACACUAGAAAAAAAUGCUAUCCAUGUAAAUACGCAUGUGAACAGUGUGGUCAGUCCUUUAUUUUUCCCUGUUUACUUGAGAAGCAUUUAAGAACUCACACUGAUGAAAAACCCUAUGAAUGUAAACAGUGUGGUAAAACAUUUAGGAGUCUCACUUAUGCUCGCAUACAUAAAAGAACUCACACCGAAGAAAGACAGUAUGUAUGUAAACAGUGUGGUAAAAGUCUCAGUUGUCCUAGUACUCUUCAGUUACAUGAACUAACUCAUACUGGAGAAAAACUCUAUGCAUGUCAACAAUUUGAUAAAACUGUCAGAAGAUUCAGUUAUUUUCAAAUACCUGAAAGGGCUCGUACUGAAGAAAAAGCUUACAAAUGUAAGCAAUGUGGUGCAAUAUUCAGUUGUUCAAAUACCCUUCAGCUACAUGAAAGAAUCCAUACAGGAGAGAAAUCCCAUGAAUGUAAACAAUGUGGUAAAGCCUUCACAGUCCUCAGCAAUCUUCAAGUACAUGAACUAUCUCACACUCAUGAAAAAUCCUAUGGAUGCAAGCAACAUGGUAAUGUUUUCAGUCUUAGUAAUCUUAUACAGGAAAGAAAGAAAGCUGAAGCAAAUCUCUGUGAAUGUAAACAGUGUGGUAAAUCUUUUGUGUCUCGAUAUUUACUUCAAAUGCAUGAAAGGUCUCAUUCUGCAGAGAAACGCUACGAAUGUAAGGUAUGUGGUAAAAGCUUCAUUUAUCCCUCAUUUCUUCAAAGACACGAAAGAACGCAUACUGGAGAGAAACCUUAUGAGUGCAAACAAUGUGGUAAGGCCUUCAGAGUUCAGAGCUCCCUUCGAUUACAUGAAAGAACUCAUUCUGAGGAAAAACCUUAUGAAUGUAAAGACUGUGGUAAAGCCUUCUGGCGGCUCCCUUCUCUUCAAGUACAUGAAAGAAUCCAUACAGGAGAAAAGCCCUUUGAGUGUAAACAAUGUGAUAAAACCUUCAGGUGUCACAGUUCCCUUCAAAGACAUGAAAGAACUCAUAGUCACGAAAAACCAUAUGAAUGUACACAGUGUGGUAAGGGCUUUAGAUGUCACCGGUCCCUUCAAAGACAUGGAAAAACUCACGCUGAAGAAAAAGCCCAGGAAUCUGGACAGUGAGCAAAACUUUUUAGGCUUUCCAGUUUCUUUUUAAUGUUUGAAAGUAACUCCUGGGAAGAAGUUCUGGUGCUAUAAAACAAGUGGUGGUGGUGGUUUUAAUCAUAGACUUACUGAAGAAAGACCUAUCAGUAAUAAUCAGUGACUUAAGAUGUUCAGUUCCAAGCCUGAUAUGGUGGUGAAUGCCUUUAAUCCUAGCACUGGGGAGGCAAAAGUAGGCAGAUCUCUUGUUCAAGGCCAGCCUCCUCUGCAAAGCAAGGUACAGGACAACCAGGCCUGCACAGAGAAACCCUGUCUCAAAAAACAAAAGAUGUUCAGUUCCGUUUGAAGCCUUGAACAUCUCUGGUGGAAUACCUUUGGAAUGUAUAUAAUAUGAGGAUAACUAAUUUUCCAUAUAUCCUCUUGAAUACUCACGUGAUAAUGCAAAUAGAGGUAGCUCUUAUAAGAAUAAGUGUCAGACUGAAAAUAGUUUGGAAAGUAAAGUUUGUAAAACUUACCUACACUGAAAGUCAUGAAGAAGAUGAUUGGAAGUAAACCAUGUGUAUUUUGCAAUCCUCAUGCAAAUUUACCUGUAAUGCUCAGAUUUUUAUGAGUGUAUUCUUGUAAGGUUAGGGAUAUGUUGUGUUUAAUUUGCAAUUACUGGUUACCAUAGAAGGGGUGGUGGUGCAGCCCUCUAGUGCUAGCUACUCAGAUAGCUGGUGGAAGAGAAUUUCAAGCUCAGGACCUGCCCAAGCAAUGUAAGCCCCAUUUUGCAAUCAAAAGUUGAAGAGUACGGGGUAUGUUGCUAAGUAGGUAGAAUACUUAGCUAGCAAGCAUGAGACUGUAAAUUCAAUCCCCAGUACUCUUACUAAAAGAAUAAAAAUCCCAAGAGAAUGAGUUGCCAUUUCUUUCAGAGAUGCAUACAUUAGAAUGAAAGUUGUUAAGUAUUCAACAAUAUAGAUAGUAUGUGAUAGAUAUGUUGCUGGACAAUUUUAUAACUGAAGAUCAUUGUGUCUUCUGUUACUUUUCCUGGUGCUGUGAUAAAAUGUUCCAACAAAAACAAGUUAGGAAGGGUUUCCUUUGUCACAGUUUGACAUGGCACAGAAGUUAGAGCAGGAGUAACAUGUGACAGCUUGCCACACUGCAUCUGUAGUCAAGAAACAGUGAUGAGUGGCCAUCAUUGCCUACCUUUCUCUCUGUUAUACGGUCUGGAACCCAAACCCAGGGAAUAAUGCCACCACCUUCACAAUGGGUCUUCCUGUCUCAGUUUAAAUCUCUUGCAGGCAAACCCUGAGACUCAUCUUCCAGGGGAUUCUAGAUCUAAAGAUGAUAUCAACUAACACAAAUAUAUUACAUACUGCCCCAAACACGGGCAGUAUGUUGAUUUAAUGCUCAUUCUAGGCAAGGAUAACUACUUAUUUAGGAAACUGAAAAUAUUUGAUGUGAAUAUAUGAAAGGAUAAUGGCAUAAAGAUAAGUGCUACACACUUAAUGAAGGCCCCAUAUUUUAAGUGGAGUCUUCUGGACUAGCUGUUCCUCUUCCAUGUCAGUGAGUUAUUUAGUCAAUGUCAAGAACAUUGCUAUAUACUAAGAUUAUUACUAGUAACUUUAUAAACACUUCAGACUUAGAUUUUAUUGUCUGUAAAUUUUUUUAAUAGAUUAGUUCAAAACUUUUUCACUUUGCAAGAUUAAAAAAAUUUGAUACUUUUCUAGACACUCAUUAUUGUGCAAGUAAGAAUUUCGUAUACCUUGGACUAUACUAUAUUAGAAAGCUUGAUUUUUAAAAUUUUCUAACUUACCGAAAUGUAUUUUAGAAAUUUUUUUUAGUGAAUUUUAGUUUAGGAUUAUUUGGUUUGGGAUUAUCAAUAGUUUCUAAAAUGGUUCUAAAUGUACUUUUGCCAUUUUGUACUAAUUUAUAUGACGGGCACUCAGCAUUCAUGAUUCAACUCUGGACAACUUGGCUCUCUAUAUUUUGCAUUCUAAAAUAUUAAGCCAAGGUGUUUUUGAGACAAGGUAGCUCUGACCUAGAACUCAGUAUGUAGACCAGGCUGACCUUGAAUUCAGAGAUUCACCUGCCUUGGCCUCCUGAGUUGCUAGGAUUAAAGGCAAAUGCCACAUUCAGGUAAGAUUUGUAUGUAAAAUUAAGCCUCUCACCUCAUUAGUUUGAAAAUUUGCUUUAACCUUUAAUAAAUAGUAAAAUUAUAUUUACUAAAGAAUUUUUAAAAUAGAUUUAUUUUUAAGAAUGUUUUAUCUUAUAGUCAUCUUGUGUGUGUGUGUAUAAAGAGAAGCAGUAUAGCCAGAAGCUGAUUCAUGCAGUGGGAAGAGUGGCCAAAUAAAAUUUUGCUUCUCUCAUGUUGAUACCAGGAGGUUCUGUUUUCUUCUGUUUAUAGGUCAGAGUAUAUAUAUAGAGAGAGUUAAGAUUAAAGAUCAGGGUUAGGAUUAGAGGAAUUUAAGGUCAGAGGAUUUUUACAGUUAAGGAUUAUGGUAAAUAAUGGUGGUAAGGCUAGAUGAUGGGUACAAGGAUUAGGGGUUAAAGUUCUAGAUUUACAUUUAGAUUUUGCAUUAGGGAUUAAUGAUUGGUAUAUGGUUAAGAGUAAUGUAAAGUGUGGUUGAAUAUGAGACACUGUGUUGUGUAUCAUUAGGGUUUGGGUUGGAAUUGGGUAUUGGUUGAGUUUGGGGUAGUGAUAAUAUUAACUGUGGUUAGAGUAGGAUUAAGGAUAGAAUUAGGGUAAUUUAGAGAAUAACAUUAGGAUUAGGGUCAGCAUUGGAAUGUUAGGUGAUUAGUGUUAGCAUUAGAGUAAGAGAUUAGGACUAAAGGAUUAGGAUUGUGAAGCAGCAACACAUUCUGUCUUCCAAACAAGUCUUCUGUCUUAGGGUUUUAUUGUUGUGAAGAGACACCAUGACCAUGACAACUCUUAAAAAGGAAAACAUUUAAUUAGGGGUGGCUUAUGGUUCAGAGGAUUAGUCCUUUAUUGUCAUGGCAAGAACCAUGGUGACAUGCAGGCAGACAUGGUGCUGGAGAGGUUCUGAGAGUUCUACAUCUAGAUCUACAGACAGCAGAAAGAGACAGACACUAGGCCUGCCUUGAGCUGCUAGACCUUAAAGCCUGACCCCAGUUACACAUUUCCUCCAACAACACCACAGCUACUCCAACAAGGCCACACCUCCCAGUAGUCCCAGUCCCUGUGAGCCUAUGGGGCCAUUUUCAUUCAAACUACCACACCUCCCUAGGUUUAGAGACUUCUAUAUGAAGAAGUGUGUUAGAGAGGUUGGAAAACAAUUCAGAUUAACUGGUAGGUUGUGAAGCGUGUUCUUUUCAGUACUCUAGAUGCUUUCAAUGAAUAUUGUUGCCUUGAAACUUAGUGUCUUAGAAGUAUAUUUUCCUUAGGACUUCUUAAGUCAGUAGCCAUGGUAGGAAGAGGUCUGGAUUAAGGGGGUGUUUCAGAGGCCUAAAACUGUUUUUGCUUCAUAUGAGAUGAAUCUCACUUACCGUGGCAGCAACACCUUGUGCUUUUAAAGCACAUUGUAUAGUGAUUAAAAAAAAACCAUCAGUCUGCCCAUAGCAGUGAUCCAUUGUCCCAUCAUGUUCUUUUUCUGUCUCACUACAGUGUUUCUGUCCCACUAAAGUAUCUCUAUUCCCCUGUGUUCCAUCAUAAAACUCACCUGUUGUCACAAUAUUCUGUCAUAUAAUAUCCAUCAAGUUAACAUCACCAUGCUCUCAACUCUGCUGUCUUCCAUUGUUCUAUUAUAGUGCUUUAUAGUCCAAUCAUAGCGCUCCCCUAUCCAUCAGUGUCCAGUUUUUUUUCUAUUCUGCACCAGUGUACCAGCUAAAGUGCUCAAUUGUUCUAUCAGUAUUCCACUGUUUCAGCACAAAUGUUUCUCUGCCUUAUCACCUGGUUCUUCUGCAUUAUCUCAAGGGUCCACUGUGCCUCUCUUCUAUACCAUUAUACCAGUACUCCUGGACAGUACAUAAUUAUAACUGCCCAGUAACAGUGCUAUACUGUGACAUUAUAAUACUUAUCUUUUUGGGUUUUUUGUUUUUAAUCACUGUGCUCUUCUGUGCCAUCACAAUGUACUACUGUGAUAGCUCAGCACUACUCACUGCAUCAGUCUCCAUUGUUCUAUAACAAUAUAUUGCUGCCCAUCAUGAGUGCUCUUCCAUUCUAUUUCCAUGUUUCAUUUUCUUAUCACAGUGCACCACAAUACCCAUCACAGUAUCUCGCUUUGUUUCUCCCCUUGAAAUAUUUCUGAUAUGUAGUCCUAGCUGGUAUGGAAUUUGAUAUGUAGACCAAGCUGGCCUCAAACUCCCUGCCUCCUUAGUGCUAGUAUUAAAGGGGUGAGCCACCACAUCUGGCCCACUGGUUUUUGGUCAGUUCACUCCUGUCCCAUUAUAAUGGUUCAUUGUCCCAUAGCAAUGUUCUACUGACCAACCACUCACAGGAUUUUUAUUUAUUGCCAUACAUUUAGAAGUCUCGUCACAACGUGUCCUCUUCUACCCUAGUGCUCUCUGUCAUGUCACAGUGCUGCACCGUUAUUACAGUCCUCCAUUGGCCUGUCAGUGUUUUACUGUUCAGAGUGAUUUUCUUUUUUUAUUGCACUACUCAAUAAAUGUGCACCUACCCACGUCAGUUCCAGUUCUCAUCACAAUUCUCUAUUGUAUUGCAUUUCUCAGCUGUCAAGUCUCAAUAUUUCUUUGUCCUAUUAUGUCAGAAUUUCUCCCACCUUUGUACUCAUCACAGUGGUCCAGUGUCCUAUCACAAUGUUAAAUUGAUCUAAAUUAGUCUCUAAAGCUACUCAACAACACUCAGGUUCUAUCCCAAUGUUUCUCUGCCCCAUAUUUUCUUUUGUCCCGUUGCAACGCUCAUGUGAUUCCUUAAAAUCUCUCGUCUCUAUCACAGCUCACCACUCAUUGUAUCCCGUUACAAUGUUCAUCAGUCCAGUCACAAUGUCCUCUUAUCCCAUUAUAGUGUUCUUAUGUUCCACCAAAUUGUUCCAGGAUCCCAUCUCAAUCCUAUAGCAAUGUUCCACUGCCUGAUCACAUUCCUCUACCUAUUAAAAUUCUCCACUGUACCUAUCAUAGUGCUCCACUUGCUAGGACAGUAUUCCAUUCUCCAGACACAAUACUCCUUUCCAUCAUAAUAUAGCACUGGUUUUCCUGGGUAGCAUGGUUACUUAAAAGCCUCAUCACUGAAGCUCAAGAAAAUACACAAACUCCUUUCCUACAAUAAGCAGGGACUGCAAAUAAACUUACUAAGCCUGAGAAGAUCUCUGAAGGGAAGUAGGCAGACACACUGAGAACUGAUACUGGGUCUGCAUGAAUCUUGAGUUGGUAACACUAAGCCCUGAGAGAGCAGUAGAAACUUCAUGGGAAGUGAUGCUCUGCAUACAUGGAACUUGCAGGACUGGAAGAGGUCAAAAUGGACUUUUCAGGGAUCUACCAGGAAAGAAUUUCCAAUGUUCCCUCACAUGCCAGAGUCACCUGGAACACAAGCUACAGAGCCCAUUUAUGCCUCCCCUCAUGGCACCAUGUGCAGCUAGCUAGGAAAAGAAAUAUCUGAAAACCACUUUUAACUCAGUGUGACUGUGUAAGCAAUCUCAUCCUAUAAAAAUUUUAAAAAUUUCGUAUGUAACCUCUACUCUAGCAUGUAUGCUCAUAGUAGUGCUUGUUUACACCCAAGGAUUUAAAGGACUCUCUAGGCUUCACCUACAUCCUAUCCCCUCUUAUUUGUAUGUCUUGUCUUAUCUCAUACUUCUCUCCUCUUUUAUACAAAAACCCUAUGUGUUUUAUCUAUGUGUUUGUCUCUGUACCACAUUUCCAGACACCAGAAGAGGGCAUCCUGUUCUCUAGAACAGGACUUACAGAUGGUGAUUAGUGGUUAUGUGGGUGUGGGGAACCAAUCUCAGGUCCUCUAUAGCCACCUCUACUGCCACCUUUGUACUUUGUUUAUAACCUUCCAGGGCUGUACUUCUGGUCUUCAUGGGCACCUGCUCUCUUGUAGUGCACACAAACUCACACAGGCAUACACACAUAAAAAUCUGUAUAACCUUUCUUAAUUAACUUACAUACUUAUUUAACUUAUACUUAAUUUACAAUAAUAUACUAAGUAUAUACUUAAUUAACAUAACCGUGCUUAAUUAACUAUGUUAGCUUGUAACAGUAUCCCAAGUUUUCUUUCCCUGCUACUUUUCCCACUUCAUCACCAAUCCUGCUGCUCUCCCAUAUCUAAUCGUAGUUACCAAAAUGUAACGUGGGUUAACCCAGUCUACUGCAUUCCUAGGCAGGUGAUCCUGAGCUGUCUAAUAAGCUAGCCGAGCAUGACAAGAGUGAGCCAGAGAACAAAGCAGCAAUCAGUAUCCCUCCAUGGUUUCUGUUUGAGUUCCUACCCUGACUACCUCAGUGAUGGAUUGUGAUCUAGAAGUGCAAGAUGAAAUAAAUCCUUUUCUUCGCAAGUUGUGUUUGGUCAGUGUUCCUGGAUCAGAAGAAUUACUAUUGUAACAAUGGCUAACAAUACGGACUCAAGGUAAUCACAAUAAAAUUACAAAUGCCUCUUUGCAGAAAUAGAAAAAUAAUCCUAAAAUUAAUAUGGAAGCAUGUGCGCAUACAUACAUACACACACACACAAACCAAACAAAAAACAAAACCACCACCACCAACAACAAAAAACUGAAUAGCCAAAGCAAUAUUGAAGGAUACUGGAGGAUAGAGAUAUAGCUUGCCAGUUAAGAGCACUUGUAGAGAUCCCAAGUCCAGUUCUUAGCACUCACUUGGUGGCUUCUAGCCAACUGUAACACCAUUACGAGAGAAUGUGACACCUUUUUUCAGCCUCUAGGAGUACCAGGUACAUACACAUACAUGAAUGCAAAUAAUCUUUUAAAAGGGAUGCUGUUUGAGAUAUUCUCAUGUCUGGUUUUAAGUUAUACUACAGAGCUGUAGUGAUAAGUACAGCAUAAUAUUGGCACAAAAAAACCCUAGAUACAUAGAUUCAUGAAAUAGAAUUGAGGACUCAUGUAUAAGCCAAUAAAACUACAACCACCUGUUCGAUUUGCUUUGUUUACAAGAAUGCCCAAAAUGCACAUUUGAGAAAACAGAAUCUUGAAUACAUGGUUGUGGAUCUGGGGAUUAGGUUGGGAUAAGGGAUAUAGUUAGGAGUUUGGGUUAGGGUCAUUGCAGUCCAGAUUAGGACUAGGGUUAUGCUUAUAGUUCAUAUUAGGUGCAGUUGUCAUGCACAGUGUUACUCUGUCUCAGGGUUUCCCCUGUGAAGAGACUCCAUGACAAUGGCAACUCUUAUAAAGGAAAACAUUUUGUAACAAGGAACCAAACUGAAGCCAUUUUGCAUAAAACUUCCAUUUUCAAUAGGAGUCAGAGGUGGACAGAAGAUGUCUUGCCCUCUCACUGGUUUCUACUGGGGAACACCUGGUACAUCCAAUGUGUCUAUAGUUUUGUUUAGUUUGAUUUUUAAUCUGUGAUUUAUAUUUGGAGAAAUGGGCCAGAGAUCAUCUGUUGGUCAUUCACCACAUCUCAAGGAUGUUCAGAAAAAAAUGGCUGAAUUGGGACAACAAAAAUCUCAUAAAUUGGCACUGCCCUUGGAACCCUGCACCUGCAGCUAGGAGCCGAUCACUGCUAGUGAAUCCCUGCCUCCUGCCUGACCUGUACAAGCCACUCUUAAAGGAGCUCCUCAGCUUUCUCCUGUAAGGAAGCUGGUGACUACUCGUGCAACAAAAUCUCUGUGACCAUGAGAAUUUAAUUCAGCAGGUAACAAGGUGCUGCUGCUCCCUUGGAAUUACAGCUGGAGGAAGUAAGGAAAAUUUUGUCUGUUUUAAAUGUAUAAAUUUAUGUGGCACUACAUGUUUGUUUCUGUCUGGUCUUAAAUGUAUGAGUUUCUAAUGUUCUUUAUGUCUUGGUUAUAGACUCUUGGCUUGUGGUUAUGGUUAUAAUUGGCUCGCAUAAGGUUAAAAAUCGAUCACCUGUAACAAAAGUUAACUUAAAACUCAUAACUCAGGGUUAGAGCCAUUCUAGAUAGCGGCAUAUGUCAGGAGCCAAUCAAGGAAACAGGUCUACAAAGUUACUUUUACAUUGGGAUAAGAUUUAUGUAUAAUUUCUGUCCUCUCUUGAAAACCAAAUGAGAAGAAGAAGAAGGAGAGGGAGAGGGAAAAGAAGAAGAGAAAGANNNNNNAGGAAGGAAAGAACAGGAGGAGGAAGACAAGGAAGAAGGAGAAGAUGAGGAAGAGGAGGAGGAGGAGGAAUAAAGCUACACCUCCAUGCAACCAUAUGGAAGAACUCUUCUUGUUGGCAGCCAAAUUUUUUAACAUAAAAGUAACUCAUGUAGUACUGAUUUUAUAAACACUUUAUUUACACUGUUAAAACUUAGUUUUGCCUUCUAAGAUUAUGGUUGUGCUUUGUCUGCCUUUAUUCUUAAAAAUGGUAUUUUAUUUUGAUAUUGCAAAAGCACACAAUUGAUAGAUUUUAAACUUCUUUUUUUUUAAAAAAAGAUGUAUGUAUUAUUAUACAUAAGUACACUGUAGCUGUCUUCAGACCCACCAGAAGAGGGUGUCAGAGCUCAUUAUGGGUGGUUGUGAGCCACCAUGUGGUUGCUGGGAUUUGAACUCAGGACCUUUGGGAGAGCAGUNAAAAUGUUUUAAUUUAUAAAACUAUGGGACAUUUAAAAGUUUAUCAGAUGUUUUAUUGUAAUUGAUGAAUGGAUACAUAAAACACUAAAAAUUAGGGCCACAACUGAAUUCCAGAGACUGAAAAAUUCCUGUUUUAUAAUGCAAUGAAACAUUGACCUUGUGCAGUCUGACAAAGAACUUGAAUAUAAAAGGGUUACAGAAUUUUAGAAAAAUUGAGAAUCAGUGUCUUAAAAAUAUGUCUAUUGGUCUAGUCAGCCUAACAGAAGCUGAUUUAAAGAUAUAGUGCUGACCUCCUUGUUUUUACUACCAUUGUUAAGCUAUACCUAUUUUGGUAAGCUGAAUCAUAUAGCAAAACAAACAAAACAAAACAAAACAAAACAAAACAAAAUACCCUGUUGUGUUCUAUAAUAUCCAUGUAAGGAUCAAAGAAAAAAGUACGUUUCCAGUCUCUAUGUUUUAAAGUGUUAGUACUAAAAGAGCUUUAAUUAAGAAAUUGUCAUUUCAUUUUAAAUUGUUAGGGAUAAUUUAAAAAAUGAUCAACUUCUUUACGAUGUUCAGAACGCUAUUUGUAGUCAUGUUAAAUACCUGUGAUUAUGGGCAUUUCUACCUAUGUGCAAGUUCCCUAAAAUAGUGACUCUGAGAAUUCUUUUAUAUGAACAAAUGUCUAGGUCAACAGCUUUGUCUUGUUUCCACUAGCUCACAACUCAAUUAUCCUGUUAAAUUACUCUUAAGUAUGUCAUGUGGUUGGUUACCUCUCUGCAGGUUUGAACGUAUGUUUUCAUCAGUGUUCAUGACAAAUCUCCCAUGCCUGACGAUUUCCCAGAAUCCUCUCCCUUUCCCUCCUUCUACUCCUGCCUCAGUUCAUUGGCCACAGUCUUUUUAUUUGACAGGUGAUGAUUCCCCAGCGUACAUAAAGAUUUCCUCCACUAUCCCCCUUUUUGUCCAAAAGGGGCUCUUUCUCUAACAAUACAAAACUAUGCAAUAAUAACAAUUAUGAAAGCCAUCAGGUAAGAUUUACAUUCACUGUGUCCAUUCCAUAUGUAUUUGUCAACCUUGGAGAAAGUAUUCUACUAUCUUAGUGACUUUUGAGUUCUAUACAUAAAUCAAUUUCUAUUAUAACUUGUAUUGCCAAUCUAAAAAUACCCUAGACCUUAGGAACAUUUUCUUAAAUCUUAAACAACUUCUGCUUAAUUGUGAGACUAUAACUAUGUAGUUGUCAACCCCAUCAGAGACCUAAGAAGGAGUAAAUAGUACCUGAAUAUGCAGGAAGUGCAGAGCAAGCAGAGCAAACUACAGAAAAGACAGAAGAGCUGGCUGCCUAGACAGUCACAAAAGUUUCUCUGUGUUGUAGCAGCAUCCAUCUUUGACCUUCUGGCCCAGAAUACCUGACCGACUUUUCUUUGAAGCAGGAAUUUUGGAGGACUGUUUAUCUUGUCUUGGCAAAACUCCGCAGUCAACUUCCCUGUAUCUCAUUUGUCCAGCUUGGACAGCAUAACUGUCAGCAGUUGACAGGGCAGCUUCUCACCAAGUGACUAGCUUGCCAGUUUUGAAGCAAACUUCUUAUGGAGGUUAUUCUAUGCUCAUCAUCUUCCUGGAUAUACAGUGGGGGUACUGCCAGAAGCAGACCUGCCUCAUUGUCAAAAAGCCCUUUUAAUAAUAAAACAUCUUUAAAUGCUGUAGUUUAAAUGCUAUAGUUUCUUUACAUCCCCACGUUUACCCCUGACAGUAGAUAGGAGAGAAAGAGAGAGGAAAGAACAAGAAGAAAAGAAGCUUCUGUGCCUAACCUUCCCUGUCCGAUACCAGAACGACUAGUAACCACGCCCACUUAAGUGAUGACAAAUGUCCAUCUUCCACUGAGUAGCCAAAACCCAUCCACCCCGCCUCUUGGGAACAAGGGCAUCACUCUCUUAAAAUUACUUCCUGCUGAUCUGGGGCAUCAUUUUCUUUUUGCACACCUCCCCCAAAUUGGGAUAUUGGUCAGCCUUAAGAAAGCUAGCUGUAGCAUUUGCUGUCCAGUCUCUGUAUGCUGAGAAAGAUCAGGGCUUAACGGAAGUCCUGACUGGAGUAGUCUGUGGUAUGUGACAAUAUAGCUAGCUGUCUUUGAAACUUUCCCAGAUACAGAUUUUUGAGGGAACAGCAUCAAGUAGGUACGAGGUAGGAUCAAACAGCAUAAUGGAAUAAAUAUGUCUCAGCAUCUCAGCACUUUAACAUCUCCGACGGUGGAUCGCUUCAGGUCUGCAUUGACUUCGCUGGUGUCUGUAAACAUAAAACUCUUAAAGGUGAUAUACAUUUCUACAAUAACAUAUGCAUGGAAUGUGCAGUGAGCACAAUUCAGUUAAAGAUGAUUCUCUGCUUUCGGUUUGAGCAGGUAAGGCAUCUGUCUUUCUUUAUAAAUUAGUUUGGAUUGUAUAAUCAAAAUGCAAUAUAAAAUUCUGUCGAUGCCAUUUGGAAGGACAGAGUGAUAAGUCUAGAGGAUUUUGUAGCCAAAAGGAUUUGUUGGCUAUGCACAGCUGAAGUUCUGGCUGGAGACAUUUUCUUGUCUCAGCCAGUCUCAGAGCUGAUCCCAAGUAGAGAGAUCAGGAUAUAUUUUACUUGUUUUGUUAUUGAUUUUUUUAUCCUGUCUGCAGCCAAGAUUUUCAGGGGGACUCCCUCUUUCAAAUCUGAUUUUUUUUUUCAACUUGGAAGGAAUUCAUAGUUUUCCUUUUCCUGUGGAAACAAAUACAAAGCCUCGCCUCCCCUCCCCUCUUCAUAAUACAAUUCCAUCCUUCCAUUUUGAAGUUAAGACAUCCUUACUAUACACAGGCUGAUUUAGUGCAGCUGUUUUUCCAUAAUCCACUAUAUCUCAGCAGCUGUUGUUUUUGGUUCAUUAACAUUUAAAAAAUUUAAACUUAAUAAAGCACUAUGUAAUCUAUCUUGUUACCCACUUUUAUUCUAUGAUCAUUUCAUUUAAUAUCUUGUUAGAUCUCCCCAUAACUGCUUGGCCUGUAGGAUUGUAAGCUAUAUUUGUAACAUGUUUUAUACCAUAGUGUCUAAAAAAAAUUGCUGUAUUUUAAGGGAUACAUGUGUUGAAGUAUCAUCAGCUCGAAUAUGUAAAGAAAUUUCCAAGAUAGUUAUCAUCUCUAAUAAAUGUGCAAUCUCAGAACCAUCUUUUUCGGAAUUCAAGGCAAAAUCCCAUUGGAAUUCAGAACAUGUAUCAACUGUAUGAUAUAUCAACACAUACAUAUUUAAAAACUUUAACCUCUAUAAAGUGAAGCAUUUAAGUUAUCGAAUGACAUUGCUUUAAGGGAGCAUCAUUAAGGAGAAUCUAGAUUCUUAACCCAGUAUAUUACAGCUCUAUGGGCUGCCAUUCUAAUUCCUUAACCCUGUAUGAAUUCUCCCCAUCUGGAAUUACCUUUUCUGCUGUCACUGUAUGUUCCAGAUUGGAUUCUUUUGAAGAUUUAAAAAUUCUGAUUCAAAGAACCUUCUAAACUCUGUUAUAUGGCCUCUGAUUUAGCAUUCCAUCUUUCAAUCAUUUCUUUCUCUAAGUCUGCUUUAUUCUGAUCUUUCUUAAAGAGAAUAUGUACAACUACAAUCAUCAUUUGCAUUCUGAUAAUCAGAACAAAAUUAUACAGGGUCCAAGUGCCCUCUGUCUUUGUGUUUUUCUCCCUUUUUUAAACAUAGAAUAUGUUUUUCUUUUAAUCUCUAACUCUCUCCUUAAGGACUUCAUUUUCUUAUUUUCAACAUAAUAUUUCUUUCUACAAUUUUUUUAUACUCUGCCGCUCCAGAAAAAUCUUCAGAUUCCUUAGGCUGGCAUGUGUCUAUGGCAGCUAAUUCUGCCUCAUUAGUGCAGUCUAGCAGGACGCCCUUGCCAGUUCUGGGCUGGAGCUGCUCCUCAUAAGGACUUUGCAUUCUCAACUCAGUUAAGCUUAUGGCUGUAGAGUCCAACAUAAUCUCCUUUAUUCUGAAACAAGGAUUUGAAUACUGUACAAAGACAAGUGGUGAAGGGGUGUAAGAAGGAAUCAAACUGAAGCCGUUUUGAAUAAAACUUCCAUUUUAAGUUGAGGUCAAAUAAAGUUUAAACUUCCGAGACCUCCCUGGGUAAUUGACAUCCUGCUUGGCAGAAAGAGGCAUGAAUAAUAAUAGUCAAGUUGACCUGCCACAGUUGUAUAACCCAAUGAAUGGGAAUAGGGUAAGUGUAUCACAAAGACACAUUCCUAAGGAAGUCUCCUAUUCCUGCAUCCUGAUUGUUGGGAUAACUUGCCACAAAUGUGUGUGGUUCUGAAGCUUAAGAACUCUGUAGCAUUCUGGCUCUAGGUCACACUUCAGCUCCCAAGCUGUGCCCCUGAUCCAUCAGUAUCGCCCUGAGUACAAUAAAAUAUUCUCAUCUCCUUAAAUCUAAGAUGAAGUUUUGAAGAUACAUGACGCUCCUGAGUUUGUGCUGUUGUCCCCGACUGAUCAGUUUUUUGCUGCCUAAUUCAAAUAAAGAGCUUAUUUUUCUGG
ensembl:lincRNA Gm37494 predicted gene, 37494